AUACGGAGGAUGCAAGCGUUAUCCGGAUUUAUUGGGUUCAAAGGGUGCGUAGGCGGAUGAUUAAGCGUGAGGUGAAAUGCCACUGCUCAACAGUGGAACUGCCUCGCGAACUGGUUGUCUUGAAUGCUCCUGCCGUGGGAGGAAUGUGUGGUGUAGCGGUGAAAUGCAUAGAGAUCACACAGAACACCGAUUGCGAAGGCAUCUCACGAAGGGGUGAUUGACGCUGAGGCACGAAAGCGUGGGGAUCAAACAGGAUUAGAUACCCUGGUAGUCCACGCAGUAAACGAUGAUAACUAACCGCUGGGUCGUAGUGAUUCAGUGGCCAAGCGAAAGCGAUAAGUUAUCCACCUGGGGAGUACGACCGCAAGGUUGAAACUCAAAUGAAUUGACGGGG
rnacentral:rRNA from 1 species